GAGGUUCAUGGGAGCCAUUGCAGGGGUGGCUGCCUGUGUCUCAUGUGCGUCAGUAGGUGGCAGAGAGGAGAGAGGCUGUGUUUAUGUUCAGUAUCCAGACCUAUAAUAUUUGUAUGAUUAGUAGCCUAACAUU